CUCACCUCUCAUAACAGGAGCAGGUCCGAGCAGCAGGAGCAGGUCUGAGCAGCAGAAGAAGCCCACUUCCCGUCGCUGUCCCCUGCCCCCCGCGUCCAGAAGGAACACAUCUGGGACUGUGUGUGGGGAGGGGGAGCGCGUCGUGUGUUUGCACCGAGCUUUUCGAAGGUCAGGGAUCCCGGUCAACUCAGAUGGGCUCAGGAGUCGUCAUCCACUGUCUCCCGUCUGUCUGCAUGUGUGGAAUGUUGGCUCUGAUGACUUCAACCUAAAGUUACAGCUGUGUCAUUGAGCAUCACUUGUCUCUUAAGAGUGGAUGCGGUUCUACCUUCCGGCGGGAGCGGAGCUUCGGGCUGGAUGCAGACGGAAAUUAAAAUGAAGAAGGAGAAGAUGAUGAAGGCGAUGGCUAUGAAGUCUUACCCAUGUUCCGCUCCUCCCGAGCAUCCCGGUGAACGCAACGAGGCCGAACACCAGCAGCGAGAAGAGGACGACGCACACCUCCAGCUCGGUGAAUGGGGAGGCCAUGAGCCGCUCCGCACGGUCAGCUGACACUAGGCUCCCAUACAAACUCGGGACAGUCUUUUCAAGCAAAAACAAGCGUGUGCUGUAGUGUGACCCGAGGCUUUGUGAACCAUUGUGACACCUCCCCUCUCCUAUUCUCGGUCACACAUUUGAACAUUUUGCAAAGGCGUAUCGGUGGAAGCUGUGAACAGCGGACUCCCCUCUCAAGUUCAACCAAGAUCAUAUUAACCCUAAUUAUUAAUGGGUGGCCUGCUUGCGCGUUUAACUGCAGAGGUUCAGUAGCACUGGACUCUCUUCACUAUACAAUGGUGGUCAUGUGAGUUAAAGAGAGCGCGGAAAACUCAUACGUAGCCAUUCGUUGUUCAUUUGCUACUUUUUGUUGAGCUUUGAAUGAUGUUAUAACCUGGAGUAGUAUUUUAUGCUGUUCUUCACCUUUGUAGUCUCUCCUUCUUCUGCUGAAGCGCUCCGAUCUUUAUUUCUCAAAGUCUGUCACGUCGUAGAUGUACAACAAAAGUGUCCAACACAUUUUUAAAGCCCACAAUCCAUCACCAAACCCGCUCUCAGCAAUUCUGUGCUCAAGGUGUGUUUCGUCAAGGCGCCAUAGAUGCACUAGUAUGCUGCUUGGAUUCACUGCUUUGUCACGUGUCAUUCCCCCUUUAUGCCUAUAGAGGCUGCUCCAGGCCAAUUCGACAUCCUGACCAGCCUUUCUCACACUCCUUACUGUCUUUUCCUGACAUAGACGUUAUUUUAAGGCGGAAUAUAUCAAAGCUGAGGCACCGAAAGGAAUGUUUUUAAGCCUAAAUUGUGCACAAAAUGUCCACAAAGUCAGCAAGGGACAAGGAUCGAACGGAAUAAAACCAACCAAGUCUACAAUGCCUUCACUGGAAUUGACUGGAAUUUUUACUUCAAAAUCUCUACUUUGCUAUUAUUUUUCAAUUUUCCAUUCUAUGGCAGAAUGAUCC
rnacentral:lncRNA from 1 species